rnacentral:piRNA from 1 species
UCACUCCAUUGUCAGGCUGACAUCGAACCU